CAGCCGCGGUAAGACGGAGGAUGCAAGCGUUAUCCGGAAUUACUGGGCGUAAAGCGUCUGCAGGUGGUUUCCUAAGUCUACUGUUAAACCUUGAGGCUCAACCUCAAAUCUGCAGUGGAAACUAGGAGACUUGAGUAUAGUAGGGGUAGAGGGAAUUUCCAGUGGAGCGGUGAAAUGCGUAGAUAUUGGAAAGAACACCGAUGGCGAAGGCACUCUACUGGGCUAUUACUGACACUCAGAGACGAAAGCUAGGGGAGCAAAUGGGAUUAGAUACCCCAGUAGUCCUAGCCGUAAACGAUGGAUACUCGAUGUUGGACGUAUCGACCCGUUCAGUAUCUUAGCUAACGCGUUAAGUAUCCCGCCU
rnacentral:rRNA from 1 species